GAUGAACGCUGGCGGCGUGCCUAAUACAUGCAAGUCGAGCGAACGGACGAGAAGCUUGCUUUUCUGAUGUUAGCGGCGGACGGGUGAGUAACACGUGGAUAACCUACCUAUAAGACUGGGAUAACUUCGGGAAACCGGAGCUAAUACCGGAUAAUAUUUUGAACCGCAUGGUUCAAUAGUGAAAGACGGUCUUGCUGUCACUUAUAGAUGGAUCCGCGCUGCAUUAGCUAGUUGGUAAGGUAACGGCUUACCAAGGCAACGAUGCAUAGCCGACCUGAGAGGGUGAUCGGCCACCCUGGAACUGAGCCACGGUCCAGACUCCUACGGGAGGCAGCAGUAGGGAAUCUUCCGCAAUGGGCGAAAGCCUGACGGAGCAACGCGGCGUGAGUGAUGAAGGUCUUCGGAUCGUAAAACUCUGUUAUUAGGGAAGAACAUAUGUGUAAGUAACUGUGCACAUCUUGACGGUACCUAAUCAGAAAGCCACGGCUAACUACGUG
rnacentral:rRNA from 1 species